rnacentral:rRNA from 1 species
AUUGAACGCUGGCGGCAGGCCUAACACAUGCAAGUCGAGCGAGCGGCGGACGGGUGAGUAAUGUAUGGGGACUGCCCGAUAGAGGGGGAUAACUACUGGAAACGGUGGCUAAUACCGCAUACUAUCGGAUAACCAAUAUGGGAUUAGCUAGUGGGUGGGGUAACGGCUCACCUAGGCGACGAUCUCUAGCUGGUCUGAGAGGAUGAUCAGCAAAACUGGGACGGAGACAGGGCCCAGACUCCUACGGAGGCAGCAGUGGGAAAUAUUGCACAAUGGGCGCAAGCCUGAUGCAGCCAUGCCGCGGGGAUGAAGCAGGCCUUAGGGUUGUAAAGUACUUUCAGCGGGGAGGCGUUACCCGCAGAAGAAGCACCGGCUAACUCCGUGCCAGCAGCCGCGGUAAUAC